UCUCUCACUCAUCUGGAUGUGGUCUGCCCCAGCGACGGAGGAUAGGGCAUGGACCUCCCGGCGAGCCCCGCGAUGAAGGGGAGGGGGCCGCGUCGGAGGGGAGUGGAAGGGGACGGAGGGGAGGGGGCCGCGUCAGAGGGGAGAGGAAGGCGACAGAGAGGUGGGAGCCGCGUCGAAGGGGAGGGGAAGAUGACGGACCAGUCCCGGUGACGGAGGGGAGGAGCGGCGGCGUUGGCGUCCACAGAGGUCUCUCCCGUCGAUCUCCGCGACGGAGGGCAGCGCUGGGUGGAGGGGACAGCGGAGGCGCCCGGCGAGGGGAGGAGCGGCGACGUUGGUCGAGGCAAGCGAGGGGAGGAGCGGCGGCUCCGGCGUUUGUCGAGGCCAGCGAGGGGAGGAGCGGCGGCUGCGGCGUUGGACAUGGCCGGCGAGGGGAGGAGCGGUGGCGGCGGUGGACAUUAAUAUCAUCUAAGUUACAACUCCCUGCAAGUUUGUCCUGUUUCGCUGAAGCUCUAUUUUUAGAAACAUCCUUUCUGCAACCAAUGAUGAACUUGCAAGGUAUGUAUUCUUUGCUGCUAUGUUUCAUGGAUAUCAAGCCUAUGCAAGCCUCUAGAUAGUAGCAGCUUUUAAAUUUUUAUCGAAUUUGACAGUGCAGUGGGAAAUAAUACCAAUCAGCAGCAGAUGGUGAUAAGUCACUAACUAACCAUGUUGUUCCGAGGUGAACACAGCAGGAAGAUCUAUUGCAUUGGCAGAAGAAUCGCCGGAUAUUGGUACGGUAGUGUUUGCUGGCUAAAGAUCAUCUAUUGAAUUCCCUAGCAGGAAAGUUCUAGGCCGAUCACUUUGUACAAAAAAUUAAUGCAAUACAUGUCUAGAUGAUCAUGUUCUUUUUCUCAAACUGUCAGUUAACGUUUGCUGGCUUUAAUUUACAUAUUUCAAAUGAGGGUAACUUUUCUUGUUUAGUAACCUGUUUCCGAGGGAUGAGGCGAUGUUGGCUAUUUGCUGGUGGUGAAGAGUGCGCGGUCGUCGCGACUCGCAGGUGCUGGAUCAAUGGCGAUUGACGAUAGCGAGGCGUAGAUGGCGACAUGCACAUCGGAGUCGAGUAGUGUUGACGUGAGGCGGUAGCAAGUACGGGCGAGUCAGUACUAUGAGUCACUUCUGCUAGAAGGCAAAGCGAAGAAUGAGUGAGAAGUUCUACUGGUACUGCGAAAGAUGUGGGCAUUAAACUUCAAUAGUUACAGACAAAGAUUGAUAGUUGACUAUACUUCCAUCAUUAUCUGAGAAAGUUGUAUAGUUAUAUAGAUCAAAGGGGGAUAUGUACUAUACAUACACUAUUAGAGGUAGGGCAAAGGCUGAAUUCGCCGGAUGAGCGUAGAUGAUAACAAAUUUUGGAAUUUGUUCAGAUGAAUGGUGCCAACAUCAGUACCUCGUGAUCUUCUGAUGCUAGUUAUCAAAAGGAUUGAACGAUUUAAUGCCUUUUUUCUCUA